rnacentral:rRNA from 1 species
UACGUAGGGCGCAAGCGUUGUCCGGAAUUAUUGGGCGUAAAGAGCUCGUAGGCGGUCUGUCGCGUCUGCCGUGAAAACCCGAGGCUUAACCUCGUGGCUUGCGGUGGAUACGGGCAGACUAGAGGUAGGUAGGGGAGAAUGGAAUUCCCGGUGUAGCGGUGAAAUGCGCAGAUAUCGGGAGGAACACCGGUGGAGAAGGCGGUUCUCUGGGCCUUACCUGACGCUGAGGAGCGAAAGCGUGGGGAGCGAACAGG